rnacentral:rRNA from 1 species
UGCAGUCGAGCGGAUGACGGGAGCUUGCUCCUUGAUUCAGCGGCGGACGGGUGAGUAAUGCCUAGGAAUCUGCCUGGUAGUGGGGGACAACGUUUCGAAAGGAACGCUAAUACCGCAUACGUCCUACGGGAGAAAGCAGGGGACCUUCGGGCCUUGCGCUAUCAGAUGAGCCUAGGUCGGAUUAGCUUGUUGGUGAGGUAAUGGCUCACCAAGGCGACGAUCCGAACUGGUCUGAGAGGAUGAUCAGUCACACUGGAACUGAGACACGGUCCAGACUCCUACGGGAGGCAGCAGUGGGGAAUAUUGGACAAUGGGCGAAAGCCUGAUCCAGCCAUGCCGCGUGUGUGAAGAAGGUCUUCGGAUUGUAAAGCACUUUAAGUUGGGAGGAAGGGUUGUAGAUUAAUACUCUGCAAUUUUGACGUUACCGACAGAAUAAGCACCGGCUAACUCUGUGCCAGCAGCCGCGGUAAUACAGAGGGUGCGAGCGUUAAUCGGAAUUACUGGGCGUAAAGCGCGCGUAGGUGGUUUGUUAAGUUGGAUGUGAAAGCCCCGGGCUCAACCUGGGAACUGCAUCCAAAACUGGCAAGCUAGAGUACGGUAGAGGGUGGUGGAAUUUCCUGUGUAGCGGUGAAAUGCGUAGAUAUAGGAAGGAACACCAGUGGCGAAGGCGACCACCUGGACUGAUACUGACACUGAGGUGCGAAAGCGUGGGGAGCAAACAGGAUUAGAUACCCUGGUAGUCCACGCCGUAAACGAUGUCAACUAGCCGUUGGAAUCCUUGAGAUUUUAGUGGCGCAGUAACGCAUUAAGUUGACCGCCUGGGGAGUACGGCCGCAAGGUUAAAACUCAAAUGAAUUGACGGGGGCCCGCACAAGCGGUGGAGCAUGUGGUUUAAUUC